rnacentral:rRNA from 1 species
GAUUAACGCUAGCGGCAGGCAUAAUACAUGCAAGUUGAACGAGAUGAGUUUUAGCAAUAGAACUUUGAAAGUGGCGCACGGGUGCGUAACACGUAUGCAACCUACCUUUUACUGGGGAAUAGCCUCUCGAAAGAGAGAUUAAUACCCCAUAAUAUAUUGAUAAGGCAUCUUAUUAAUAUUAAAGUUACGGCGGUAAAAGAUGGGCAUGCGGCUGAUUAGGUAGUUGGUGAGGUAAUGGCUCACCAAGCCGACGAUCAGUAGGGGGUCUGAGAGGAUGUCCCCCCACACUGGUACUGAGACACGGACCAGACUCCUACGGGAGGCAGCAGUAGGGAAUAUUGGACAAUGGGCGCAAGCCUGAUCCAGCCAUGCCGCGUGCAGGAUGAAGGCCCUAUGGGUCGUAAACUGCUCUUGUACGGGAAGAAACCUCACUACGUGUAGUGAGUUGACGGUACCGUGAGAAUAAGGAUCGGCUAACUUCGUGCCAGCCGCCGCAGUAA